ACGGCCCAGACUCCUACGGGAGGCAGCAGUGGGGAAUCUUGCGCAAUGGGCGAAAGCCUGACGCAGCCAUGCCGCGUGAAUGAUGAAGGUCUUAGGAUUGUAAAAUUCUUUCACCGGGGACGAUAAUGACGGUACCCGGAGAAGAAGCCCCGGCUAACUUCGUGCCAGCAGCCGCGGUAAUACGAAGGGGGCAAGCGUUGUUCGGAUUUACUGGGCGUAAAGCGUACGUAGGCGGAUUGUUAAGUGAGGGGUGAAAUCCCGGGGCUCAACCUCGGAACUGCCUUUCAUACUGGCAAUCUUGAGUCCGGGAGAGGUGAGUGGAACUCCUAGUGUAGAGGUGAAAUUCGUAGAUAUUAGGAAGAACACCAGUGGCGAAGGCGGCUCACUGGCCCGGAACUGACGCUGAGGUACGAAAGCGUGGGGAGCAAACAGGAUUAGAUACCCUGGUAG
rnacentral:rRNA from 14 species